rnacentral:tRNA from 1 species
UUGUUGGUGGUAUAGUCGUGAGCACAGCUGCCUUCCAAGCAGUUGACCCUGGUUCAAUUCCUGGCCAAC